UACAGAGGUCCCAAGCGUUGUUCGGAUUCACUGGGCGUAAAGGGUGCGUAGGUGGUGGGGUAAGUCUGAUGUGAAAUCUUCGAGCUUAACUCGGAAAUGGCAUUGGAUACUACUCUGCUAGAGGUUUGGAGGGGGGACUGGAAUUCUCGGUGUAGCAGUGAAAUGCGUAGAUAUCGAGAGGAACACCAGUGGCGAAGGCGAGUCCCUGGACAGCACCUGACGCUGAGGCACGAAAGCUAGGGGAGCAAACAGG
rnacentral:rRNA from 1 species